GAAAAUUUGAAAGCCAGAUUGACUGACUCUGUUCAGAGAGACAGUCCAGGACUUCAUUUGUUCAUGUUAAAGCUAUUUAGUCAAGAAGGGCAAUGUUGACACCAUCAGUUGAUUACCAGGAAAGAACCUUGAGUUAGAGCUCCCAAGAAACCCAAGUUCACGUGUGAAAAUGGAAAAAUAUUCUCACCUAGAACACAGGGAAGUCUUGAGAAGUUACUGGCCUGUACCUGUGGAAUAUGCAAGAUGGAAAGUAAAUAUUGUUAACUGGCAGCAGAUCUGUGAGAAUGCAGAGUUAUUAUCUAAGAAAGUCAAUUCAGU
rnacentral:lncRNA from 1 species